AAAUUAUGAAAUUAUUUUACUUGUAUCAAGCCUUAAAUUUAGACCUUAAAUAUAGACUUUAGUUCUGUCUUUAGGGCCAUGGAGCAGUGAGAGUUCUGAAGCAUUGUAAACAGAUUUUAAAAUGGAGAAGGCAGAAAAUUCCUUGAAGUUAGCAUUGCCAGUCUUGCGCUCUCACAGAACAACUGGUCUGUAAACAAUGUACCCAUGUUAAACAGCCAGACAACAGUUCCUGAAGGGCCACACUCUCUUCCAAGUUUGCAGAGAGGAUUUUGCAUGGAAGAGAUCUUUUGUUGGAAAGCAACUAUGCAGUUUAUGCUACCUUUAGGCUGAAAGUCCAGUUGUGGCAUCUAUUACAAAAAAUCAAGAUCUUGCAUCUUUAAUUGGACUGCCACAUAUGUCAAGAGUCCCAACAUCCCAGAGAGUACCUGAUGGGUUAUAAAGGAUGUGAUGUGUUUUGAUACCACUUCCUCUGUUAAAAGACACAAAUGAACAUUUCCUGAUGUUUUGAGGAAUUUUCAACAAGGAGGUGGUCUUGUUUAUAUGUCUUACAGAUUAUCCUAUGUCUUUAAAUGGAAAUUAUGCAUGUUAACUGUUCAUAUGUGUUUGUACUCAAUUACAUGGUUUUGUCCAGACAUUUUACUGUAAAAUCAUAUUUUUCGUAGUUUAAGGAAAACAUGUUGGAUUGUUAGCAUUUGAUUUCUUAAUUAAAUUAGUGCUGAGUAGUUAUAAUUAGAAGUUUUUCUUUUCAUGGAUGACAUGAAUUUGUGGUUCUCUCCAUACCUUGAACAAUGAUAAUUAAGCCCCAGUGAAAAUUAGUUAUUUCAAAACAUGAGACUUAAACUAAUGGAUUUCUCUGAAAAUUUUUACACUUUUAUUGACCAUAUCAAGAUGUGCAUUAUAUAAUAGCAUAUUGAUUGUACAAUUUUGGUUUCAUUUUACAGGUGUUUUUUUUUUUUCAACUUUAUAGACAUUUUUUGGUCAUAGUCCACAAUAUAUUUUAAAAACUGCGGAAUAUAUAUUGAAUUCACAACUAUGUAAACAUUGUGCUUUCUCUGAAGGUUUGCAUCUGACAUUUUAAAAUAAAUUUCUUGAAGUUAAAGGAAGAUAUAAAGAAUGUUAAUAUCAGAGGAAGGACUUAUUUUGUCAUUGUGACUGGGGUCUUAUAGACAGACAACAUGAAGACAUUUGCAGGUUCAAUAGGUUGUUUAAUUUCCCAGCUGUAAUUUGUAAUAAAUAUAGAACAUGGAUAAAUUGGGAAAAUGAUCACCCAGUAAAUAUUCAUAUAAAUAAAAUUAGUACAGUAUAAUAAAAAUGGGAUGACAAUUCUUGAAGCGUACAAUAUACUUGUAUAAAAAUCACAAUACAUUCUAUGCAUAUUAUGAAAGAGUUAUUCCCCUUUUCACAGUGAUCAUUUAUACUUGUAUGAUUAUAUAUUCUCUUGAAACAUAUAUUGAAUUGUUUUACAUUAUUUAAUUGU